GGUUGAGGGAUGAUAUGAGCACCAUCAAAUGUCUGUCUUCAAGAUUGUCCUUCAAUUGGUAACCUACAAGGUCCCAGGUCUAAAUGAGGAUCAAGUGAGUUGGGCCAAGGGGGCUGCAAUGGCUUUUGAAGGAAGCCAACCAAAACUAUUGCCUAAGAUACCCUAGCCUGGGUUCCAGAAGCUUAGUCACCACAACCAGUGAUGACUCCAAAAUGGGGCUGGCUGCUACUGGAAGCAGUACCCUUGGCACAGAUAGGAAAGCUAUCAGCACUGGGCACUGGCCACCUUAGCACAGAUGCUGGCGGGUACCAGCAGCCAUGCUGAUAUCAGCAGGAAGCACCUGGUAACAAGCUGAAGUCUUAGAGCAGGAAUUUGGAGAUGGGGGGCUUGAGGGUACAGAUAAGAGGACCAGACUAGGGGACACCUAUCAACACCACUGCCAAGGACUGUCAUCACAACAGGGGAAGUGGAAGCAGAGCGAGAAGAGGACUAUUGCUAGAUCCCUUUCCCUGGAAAUAACCUCUUGUGGAACAUGAGUGGAGAAGACAAUUAGACAAGAAAUAUUUAUCACUGGGACCAAAUUUUAACUAGAGUCAUAGAAUGAAGAGAUCAGGGCUCCAGAAACAAAGUGAAACAGAGAAUUAAAAUAAUUAUCUGGAUCAUUCAGGGGAAAUAAAAUCAUCAUUUUUGCUUGA